rnacentral:rRNA from 1 species
CAGUCGCCACGGUAAUACGAAGGGGGCUAGCGUUGUUCGGAAUUACUGGGCGUAAAGCGCACGUAGGCGGAUAUUUAAGUCAGGGGUGAAAUCCCGCAGCUCAACUGCGGAACUGCCUUUGAUACUGGGUAUCUUGAGUAUGGAAGAGGUUAGUGGAAUUGCGAGUGUAGAGGUGAAAUUCGUAGAUAUUCGGAAGAACACCAGUGGCGAAGGCGGCUCACUGGACCGGCAUUGACGCUGAGGUGCGAAAGCGUGGGGAGCAAACAGGAUUAGAUACCCCUGUAGUCCCUGUCUCUUAUAA